rnacentral:rRNA from 1 species
GAAAUGCGAUAAGUAAUGUGAAUUGCAGAAUUCAGUGAAUCAUCGAAUCUUUGAACGCACCUUGCACCCUUUGGUAUUCCGAAGGGUACGCCCGUUUGAGUGUCAUUGUAAUCUCACUUCUACAACUUUAUUGUUGUUUGAAUGUGGACUUGGAUGUUGCCGUUUUAUCACGGCUCGUCUUAAAUGCCUGAGUGUACCCUGUUUUGUCAGCGUAUCCAGUGUAAUAAACAUUUCACUAGAGUUGGUCGAAAGACCACGUUGACUAUAUGGGCUCUAUGCUUCAAACCGUCUGCCAUGUGGACAAUUUCUUGACAAUUUGACCUCAAAUCGGGUGGGACUACCCGCUGAACUUAAGCAUAUCAAUAAGCGGAGGAAAAAGAAACUAACAAGGAUUCCCCCUAGU